rnacentral:rRNA from 1 species
UGGGGAUGCUUUACACACGCAGGUUUAGCGGCAGCGCGGGGGCAACCUGGCGGCGAGCUGGCGAACGGGUGAGUAAUACAUCGGAACGUGUCCCGUAGUGGGGGAUAGCCCGGCGAAAGCCGGAUUAAUACCGCAUAUGCUCUACGGAGGAAAGUGGGGGACUCGCAAGGGCCUCACGCUAUGGGAGCGGCCGAUGUCCGAUUAGCUUGUUGGCGGGGUAAUGGCCCACCAAGGCGACGAUCGGUAGCUGGUCUGAGAGGAUGAUCAGCCACACUGGGACUGAGACACGGCCCAGACUCCUACGGGAGGCAGCAGUGGGGAAUUUUGGACAAUGGGGGAAACCCUGAUCCAGCCAUGCCGCGUGCGGGAAGAAGGCCUUCGGGUUGUAAACCGUUUUGGUCGGAAAGAAAAGGCGCCACCUAAUACGGGGCGCUCUUGACGGUACCGGCAGAAUAAGCACCGGCUAACUACGUGCCAGCAGCCGCGGUAAUACGUAGGGUGCGAGCGUUAAUCGGAAUUACUGGGCGUAAAGGGUGCGCAGGCGGUUCCGCAAGUCAGGCGUGAAAUCCCCGGGCUUAACCUGGGAAUGGCGCUUGAAACUACGGGACUAGAGUAUGGCAGAGGGAGGUGGGAUUCCACGUUGUAGCGGUGAAUGCGUAGAGAUGUGGAGGGAACACCGAUGGCGAAGGCAGCCUUCCUGGGCCA